GUGAGGAAUAUUGCACAAUGGGCGAAAGCCUGAUGCAGCAACGCCGCGUGAGUGAUGAAGGCCUUUGGGUCGUAAAACUCUGUCCUUGGGGAAGAAAAAAAUGACGGUACCCUUGGAGGAAGCCCCGGCUAACUACGUGCCAGCAGCCGCGGUAAUACGUAGGGGGCAAGCGUUAUCCGGAAUUAUUGGGCGUAAAGAGUGCGUAGGUGGUUUUGUAAGCGUAGGGUGAAAGGCAGUAGCUCAACUAUUGUUAGCCCUGCGAACUGUGAGACUUGAGUGCAGGAGAGGAAAGUGGAAUUCCUAGUGUAGCGGUGAAAUGCGUAGAUAUUAGGAGGAACACCAGUGGCGAAGGCGACUUUCUGGACUGUAACUGACACUGAGGCACGAAAGCGUGGGUAGCAAACAGGAUUAGAUACCCUGGUAGUCC
rnacentral:rRNA from 1 species